rnacentral:lncRNA from 1 species
CAGUGGUAUGCUAAUCCUUUGACCAGCGAUGCAUUGGCUAUUUGUAGUGAGGCUGCUAUAGUUUGACUGCACAUCUACUUGGUCCCUAGCCAUUAGGGUCCUUGCUGUGUAUGUUGGCUAUGGUGGGUUCAGAUUCACUGUUAAGAGUAGGAUGCACUUAGAUGGAAUCUAUCGAUCUUAGUAGAAAAGAUAUAGCUCUAUGUAAUUCACGAGACUGAGUUUAGUAAAUCUUUGAUCAAAGUAAGAGUGAAUUCUGGAAAGGAGUUUCCACGAGAUUCACAAGAGAACUCAAGUCAAACCAAUCUUGCAUAUAACUGACGAUGGGGUUUGACGAGUUAUCCAUGAUCUCCAUCAAGUCAGAACUUUUGAUAGAAAGAUUGAAUCAUAAGAUAACUAUCCC